AUUGAACGCUGGCGGCAGGCUUAACACAUGCAAGUCGAGCGGAGAUGAGGUGCUUGCACCUCAUCUUAGCGGCGGACGGGUGAGUAAUGCUUAGGAAUCUGCCUAUUAGUGGGGGACAACAUUCCGAAAGGAAUGCUAAUACCGCAUACGUCCUACGGGAGAAAGCAGGGGAUCUUCGGACCUUGCGCUAAUAGAUGAGCCUAAGUCGGAUUAGCUAGUUGGUGGGGUAAAGGCCUACCAAGGGGACGAUCUGUAGCGGGUCUGAGAGGAUGAUCCGCCACACUGGGACUGAGACACGGCCCAGACUCCUACGGGAGGCAGCAGUGGGGAAUAUCGGACAAUGGGCGGAAGCCUGAUCCAGCCAUGCCGCGUGUGUGAAGAAGGCCUUUUGGUUGUAAAGCACUUUAAGCGAGGAGGAGGCUACCUAGAUUAAUACUCUGGGAUAGUGGACGUUACUCGCAGAAUAAGCACCGGCUAACUCUGUGCCAGCCGCCGCCGUAA
rnacentral:rRNA from 1 species